rnacentral:tRNA from 1 species
AAGGGUAUAGCUCAGUGGCAGAGUGUGUGCUUGGCGUGCAUGAGGUCCUGGCUUCAGUCCCCAGUACCUCCA